CGAGCCGGGCGGACGGCCGCGUGGAGUCCCCCUAGGGGGCUUCCCGAGGAACGUCCGGGCUCCACAGGGCAGGGUGGUGGCCAACAGCCACCCGGGGUGACCCGCGGGACAGUGCCACAGAGAACAGACCGCCCGGCGCUUCGGCGCCGGGUAAGGGUGAAACGGUGGUGUAAGAGACCACCAGCGCCUGAGGUGACUCAGGCGGCUAGGUAAACCCCACCCGGAGCAAGGUCAAAAGGAAGCACCCCCGGUGCUUCUGCGCGGACGACCGAGGGCUGCCCGCCCGAGUCCGCGGGUGGACCGCACGAGGCCGGUGGCAACACCGGUCCUAGAUGGAUGGCCGUCGCCGGCGGGACCGCGAGGACCCGCCGGAACAGAACCCGGCGUACAGCCCGACUCGUCUG
rnacentral:RNase_P_RNA from 1 species